rnacentral:rRNA from 1 species
UACGGGGGGAGCAAGCGUUGUUCGGAUUUACUGGGCGUAAAGGGCGCGUAGGCGGCCACCGCAAGUCGACUGUGAAAUCUCCGGGCUUAACCCGGAAAGGUCAGCCGAUACUGCGGGGCUAGAGUGCAGAAGGGGCAACUGGAAUUCUCGGUGUAGCGGUGAAAUGCGUAGAUAUCGAGAGGAACACCCAGGGGGAAACCAGUCGACUGGGCAUCUACUGACGCUGAGGUGCGAGAGCGUGGGGAGCGAACCGG